GAUGAACGCUGGCGGCGUGCCUAAUACAUGCAAGUCGAGCGAACAGACGAGGAGCUUGCUCCUCUGACGUUAGCGGCGGACGGGUGAGUAACACGUGGAUAACCUACCUAUAAGACUGGGAUAACUUCGGGAAACCGGAGCUAAUACCGGAUAAUAUAUUGAACCGCAUGGUUCAAUAGUGAAAGACGGUUUUGCUGUCACUUAUAGAUGGAUCCGCGCCGCAUUAGCUAGUUGGUAAGGUAACGGCUUACCAAGGCAACGAUGCGUAGCCGACCUGAGAGGGUGAUAGGCCACCCUGGAGCUGGGACACGGUCCAGACUCCUACGGGAGGCAGCAGUAGGGAAUCUUCCGCAGUGGGCGAAAGCCUGACGGAGCAACGCCGCGUGAGUGAUGAAGGUCUUCGGAUCGUAAAACUCUGUUAUGAGGGAAGAACAAAUGUGUAAGUAACUAUGCACGUCUUGACGGUACCUAAUCAGAAAGCCACGGCUAACUACGUG
rnacentral:rRNA from 1 species